UUUAAAUUAAAAAUUAUGUCAAAUAGUAUAUUAAAAAAGUUUAUAAAAAAAUGCUAAAAAUAAAUAUAAAUAGAUUUUUAUUAAAAGAAAAUCAAAACUAAGUAUAAUGGUUCGGUUUAGAAAAAUUGUCUUUUAAUAGUUUGGUACGGUUCGGAAUUCCGAACUGUUAUGCGAAACCAAAACUUUUGGUUCAGUUCGGUUCUAAGAAAAUUAAAAUGGUUCGGUACGGUUCGGAUGCCUUUAUAUAACGGUUCGGUUCAGUUUUCAGACAGAACUGAACCAUGAACAACCCUAAGCAGAACUAAUCUUUUCUCCUACGGUUCGGAUGCCUUUAUAUAACGGUUCAGUUUUCAGACAGAACCGAACCAUGAACAGCCCUAAGCAGAACUAAUCUUUUCUCCUAUCACUUCUCACUUGCCUUUUCCCUCUUCAUCUCUUCUGUCUCAAACGUAAACCCUGCCCGGGAUAGGAAUGAAAUUGUUUUCUGGAUCUACACUUGGAUAUGAUGCCUUGUUGGUAGCUUAUGGUUUAAAAUCGUUUUUUGUUCUAAAGCUUCAGAUUGUGGCUUUACUGGCAGAUGCAUUAAUUGAAAUGCAAGAACAAGUUUUGGCUGGCAAAGAUGAGAUAGGAACUAUGUAGAUGGUUUUGUGAGGUCUAUGAACCAAAACAAAUAUCGCAAAAAAUUCUAAAUCCGCAAGUGUGGCCACUAAUGCACUUCAAACCUGAAGAAAACUAAAACAUUGUGUAAAGAGACUGAAGGAAAGAAAUCAACAACACAAAAAGAAGAUUAAUGAGAAGCGGAAGAAUGGAAAAGUUAACUCUGGCUUGCAUAAUAUCAUCCAUGAACAAGAAACUGAAUCUAAAAAUGAGUGUGAACAAGUUCCAUCGAAUACACGAAUUACCAUUUGUGUUCAUAAAUCUAUUCAAAUCUCCGAAGUUACUGCAACUGAUGAUUUAAUUCCCUUAGAAGUUCAUGUUGAUGCAUAGUCAAUUGCUGAACCAAUGUGGAGGUAUCAAUUUUUCUGGCCCAUUUGUCCAGUUUUUUCAUCAACUGCUACACCAGCCAGCUUCUUGCUUUUGGGGUCAGCUUUGGUUGCGUCUCUCUUAAUUGUGUUUGGGGCUCUUUUGUCCUGGUUCUCUAUGAAACGACAACAUGGUAUUAUAGUUAUGGUGGACCAGCAGUAUUACUCGACGUUUUAGGCUCACAGCGAGGUGUGCGGUUGAAGGAAAUUGUGAAGUCGACUGUAAUUCGCGCGGGUUACAUGUCAUGUGUUGCACUUAUGAAGAGUAGUAGGCUUUGGUUUUAUGCAAAUGGCAUUACAAUAUCGAUUGAAUUCGGAGAGGCAUCGUAUCAGUUUAGGCAUUCUUACAUCCCUUCUACAUGACAAUGUUUUUAGCCACAUCAGUUUAAUCUUUUCGGGAGUAUUUGGAAUUUUCUAUGUGGGCUUCAGGUGCUAUGAGCUGAAUCAUUUGUUCUGCUUUUGCUCCAACUGCAUUUUGGUUCUGUCUUGGACUGUCGCGGUAUCUGGUUUGGUGCUGGUGGUGUUUAGUUGAUGUUUACAGCUUUGCUUACUUUGUGAUAUUUGAUAUGGUUAUGGUUUGAUUGUGUUUUCGGGUGGUUAUUAGUGCUAUAUUUCGUACUGGUUCUGGUUUUGAAUUCGUACUUGUUCUGCUUUAUUAAUGGUGAUGCAAGCAUUCGGUCAAA